GGGUCAGUAGGUUGGUCGUGCCACCGGUACGUACUGGUCUCACUGAUUCCUCCUUCCUGAAGAACCGUAAUGCCAUUAAUUUGGUGUUGCGGGGAAACAGGACUGCUACUUUGAAAAAAUUAGGGUGUUUGAAGCAAGCUAACGCUUGAAUACAUUAGCAUGGAAUAAUGAAAUAGGACGAUCGAUCCUAUUUUGUUGGUUUCUAGGAUUGACGUA
rnacentral:rRNA from 1 species